rfam:Acyrthosiphon pisum strain LSR1 Contig40344, whole genome shotgun sequence.
UUGCUAUGAUGUUAAAUAUUUAUGUUGAACAAUUUUAUGAAAAUACAUUUUGUGAGCUUUUUAACCCUGAGCAAA